rnacentral:sRNA from 1 species
UUACCCCAUGAUGUCAGGUCCGCCGCAUCUCCUGGGUCGUGGGGUUUGUCGGCUGAUCUGUUGCCAAUGCGGUUCCUCGUGCCGCGGCGGCGGUCAGCCGACGCCCAU